CUGGUUGAUCCUGCCAGUGGCAUAUGCUCAUGUUAAAGAUUAAGCCAUGCAAGUGUAAGUUUAAGCAGAGUAACUGCGAGACUGCGGAAGGCUCAUUAAAUCAGCUAUAAUUUAUUUGAUCAAAUACACGGAUAACCGUAGUAAUUCUAGGGCUAAUACGUAUCAACAAGGGGCGGGCAACCGUUUCUGUCAUACUCAUUACGAGUUUGCCCUACGGGGUAUUGAAUGAAGAGUACACAAUCACCACAUGGCCUUGAGCCGGUGGCAGUACAUUCAAGUUUCUUCCCUAUCAACUUAAACCGAAGUCUAUUGAACUCGGUUGGUGAUAACGGGUGACGGGGAAUUAGGGUUCGAUUCCGGAGAGGGCGCCUGAGAAAUGGCGACUACUUCCAAGGAAGGCAGCAGGCGCGCAAAUUACCCAAUCUCAAUACGAGGAGGUAGUGACAAUAAAUACGGAUGGGGUUUACCCUAAUCCGAAUGGGUCUGUUUUAAAGCGAUUAACGAGUAACAAUUAGAGGGCAAGUCUGGUGCCAGCAGCCGCGGUAAUUCCAGCUCUAAUAGCGUAUACUAAAGUUGUUGUGGUUAAAACGCUCGUAGUUCAAUUCUGAGGGGGCAUGAUUCCUUGUGGGCGAAAGCUUACUGGGAUAGUGCCCUUAAUAAUAUGUUGGUUUAACUGCUUGCUGAUCUUAAUUGAUUGGCUUGUGGUGGCCGACCGUUUACUUUGAAUAAAACAGCGCGUUUAAUGCAAGCAAACGUCUGAAUGAAACAGCAUGGGAUAAUAGAACAGGGGGUGCGGAGUUACUAACCGCAUCUAAUGAUAAAUAGAGUUUGUCGGGGGUGUUCAUAUUGCGCGGCUAGAGGUGAAAUUCUUGGACCCGUGCAAGAUGUACUAAAGCGAAAGCAUUCAUCAAGGAUGCUCUCAUUGAUCAAGAACGAAAGUUAGGGGAUCGAAGACGAUCAGAUACCGUCGUAGUCUUAACUAUAAACGAUGUCGACUGGCAAUCGACAGGUGUUCUAAAUAGACUCAGCCGGCGGCCUAAAAGAAAUUAAAGUCUUUGGGUUCCGGGGGGAGUAUGGUCGCAAGGCUGAAACUUAAAGGAAUUGACGGAAAGGCACACCAGGAGUGGAGCCUGCGGCUUAAUUUGACUCAACACGGGGAAACUUACCAAGUCCGGACAUGGUAAUGAUUGACAGACUAAUAGCUCUUUCUUGAUUCUAUGGGUGGUGGUGCAUGGCCGUUCUUAGUUGGUGGAGUGAUCUGUCUGGUUAAUUCCGAUAACGAACGAGACCUCAGCGUAUUAAAUAGUAACGGGUUCGCCAAAUAGGUGAAGACCUGGGAUACGAAGCGAAAGCCAAGUUCCUGGGAGGGAUCCUCGGUAGUAAUUCGAAAUAAUCUUCUUAAGCGGACUCCUAGCGAUUAGUUUGGGGAAGCUGGAGGCAAUAACAGGUCUGUGAUGCCCUUAGAUGUCUUGGGCUGCACGCGCGCUACAUUGACUCAGGCAAUGUGCAAUUAAAAACCCUCGCCUAUAAAAGGGUCGGGUAAUCACUUAAAGUAAGCCGUCACGGGGAUAGAUCAUUGUAAUUAUUGGUCUUCAACGAGGAAUUCCUUGUAAGUACGCUUCAUCAGAGCGUGCUGACUACGUCCCUGCCUUUUGUACACACCGCCCGUCGCUCCUACCGAUUGAGUGUUCCGGUGAAACCGUGGGAGCGAGUAUUAUCUACCGCAAGGUAGCUCUGGUACAUGCAAACAUGGGUAAACCUUAAUAUUUAGAGGAAGGAGAAGUCGUAACAAGGUCUCCGUAGGUGAACCUGCAGAAG
rnacentral:rRNA from 1 species